CAGUCGAGCGGAACGAGUUAACUGACCCUUCGGGUGACGUUAACGGCGUCGAGCGGCGGACGGGUGAGUAAUGCCUGGGAAAUUGCCCUGAUGUGGGGGAUAACCAUUGGAAACGAUGGCUAAUACCGCAUAAUAGCUUCGGCUCAAAGAGGGGGACCUUCGGGCCUCUCGCGUCAGGAUAUGCCCAGGUGGGAUUAGCUAGUUGGUGAGGUAAAGGCUCACCAAGGCGACGAUCCCUAGCUGGUCUGAGAGGAUGAUCAGCCACACUGGAACUGAGACACGGUCCAGACUCCUACGGGAGGCAGCAGUGGGGAAUAUUGCACAAUGGGCGCAAGCCUGAUGCAGCCAUGCCGCGUGUAUGAAGAAGGCCUUCGGGUUGUAAAGUACUUUCAGCAGUGAGGAAGGUAGUAGUGUUAAUAGCACUAUUAUUUGACGUUAGCUGCAGAAGAAGCACCGGCUAACUCCGUGCCAGCCGC
rnacentral:rRNA from 1 species